UACGAAGGGGGCUAGCGUUGCUCGGAAUUACUGGGCGUAAAGGGCGCGUAGGCGGAUGUCUAAGUCAGAGGUAAAAGCCCAGGGCUUAACCUUGGAACUGCCUUUGAUACUGGGCAUCUUGAGUUCGGGAGAGGUGAGUGGAACUCCGAGUGUAGAGGUGAAAUUCGUAGAUAUUAGGAAGAACACCGGUGGCGAAGGCGGCCCACUGGUCCGGUACUGACGCUGAGGUGCGAAAGCGUGGGGAGCAAACAGG
rnacentral:rRNA from 1 species